GACGUAGGGCGCGAGCGUUGUCCGGAUUUAUUGGGCGUAAAGAGCUCGUAGGCGGCUUGUCGCGUCGACUGUGAAAGCCCGGGGCUCAACCCCGGGAGGCGGGCGGAUACUGUCGGGCUAGAGUCCGGAAGAGGCGAGUGGAAUUCCUGGUGUAGCGGUGAAAUGCGCAGAUAUCAGGAGGAACACCGAUGGCGAAGGCAGCUCGCUGGGACGGUACUGACGCUGAGGCGCGAAAGCGUGGGGAGCAAACAGG
rnacentral:rRNA from 1 species